CGGCGGACGGGUGAGUAAUGCUUAGGAAUCUGCCUAUUAGUGGGGGACAACAUUCCGAAAGGAAUGCUAAUACCGCAUACGUCCUACGGGAGAAAGCAGGGGACCUUCGGGCCUUGCGCUAAUAGAUGAGCCUAAGUCGGAUUAGCUAGUUGGUGGGGUAAAGGCCUACCAAGGCGACGAUCUGUAGCGGGUCUGAGAGGAUGAUCCGCCACACUGGGACUGAGACACGGCCCAGACUCCUACGGGAGGCAGCAGUGGGGAAUAUUGGACAAUGGGGGGAACCCUGAUCCAGCCAUGCCGCGUGUGUGAAGAAGGCCUUUUGGUUGUAAAGCACUUUAAGCGAGGAGGAGGCUACGAGUAUUAAUACUACUGGAUAGUGGACGUUACUCGCAGAAUAAGCACCGGCUAACUCUGUGCCAGCAGCCGCGGUAAUACAGAGGGUGCGAGCGUUAAUCGGAUUUACUGGGCGUAAAGCGUGCGUAGGCGGCUGAUUAAGUCGGAUGUGAAAUCCCUGAGCUUAACUUAGGAAUUGCAUUCGAUACUGGUCAGCUAGAGUAUGGGAGAGGAUGGUAGAAUUCCGGGUGUAGCGGUGAAAUGCGUAGAGAUCUGGAGGAAUACCGAUGGCGAAGGCAGCCAUCUGGCCUAAUACUGACGCUGAGGUACGAAAGCAUGGGGAGCAAACAGGAUUAGAUACCCUGGUAGUCCAUGCCGUANACGAUGUCUACUAGCCGUUGGGGCCUUUGAGGCUUUAGUGGCGCAGCUAACGCGAUAAGUAGACCGCC
rnacentral:rRNA from 1 species